UGGGGAAUUUUGGACAAUGGGCGCAAGCCUGAUCCAGCCAUGCCGCGUGCGGGAAGAAGGCCUUCGGGUUGUAAACCGCUUUUGUCAGGGAAGAAAUCUUCUGAGUUAAUACCUCGGGAGGAUGACGGUACCUGAAGAAUAAGCACCGGCUAACUACGUGCCAGCAGCCGCGGUAAUACGUAGGGUGCAAGCGUUAAUCGGAAUUACUGGGCGUAAAGCGUGCGCAGGCGGUUUUGUAAGACAGAGGUGAAAUCCCCGGGCUCAACCUGGGAACUGCCUUUGUGACUGCAAGGCUUGAGUGCGGCAGAGGGGGAUGGAAUUCCGCGUGUAGCAGUGAAAUGCGUAGAUAUGCGGAGGAACACCGAUGGCGAAGGCAAUCCCCUGGGCCUGCACUGACGCUCAUGCACGAAAGCGUGGGGAGCAAACAGAUUAGAUACCCUGGUAGUCCACGCCCUAAACGAUGUCAACUGGUUGUUGGGAAGGUUCCUUCUCAGUAACGUAGCUAACGCGUGAAGUUGACCGCCUGGGGAGUACGGCCGCAAGGUUGAAACUCAAAUGAAUUGACGGGGU
rnacentral:rRNA from 1 species